AUGUUUGAAGCUGGUGUACACAACCGAAAGUAAAAGACGCAAAGACGCAUAGAAAUCGCAGAUGACCGCUUCUCAGACUUGCUUUCAAUGAGAAGACCUAGAAGAUCUAUAACGGAUAUUAUUCUUAUUUUUUUUAAUUAAAGGUGUAACCAAGGCUUUCAGAGAACACAGAGAAACAUGGCUACAGUCUUCAUCUGUUCCGUCUGUACCGAAGUCUUCGUUGGACAUAUAUCGCUGAGCUGCCAGCACACCUUCUGUAGACGUUGCCUCCAGAAGAGUAUGGACUUCGGUUGCGUUAUCUGUCCGGUGUGCGGGGAUCCAAUCACGUCGGAGAACAUCAGAGUCAACAGAAUACUAAGGGACAUGGCAGAUGAAGUGAGACAGAGAAGAGUUGAUCUCAGAGUGUUGAAGAGGAAUGAGGACAUUGAUGUGAAUAACUGGGAAACCGAGGAGAAGAAGAAGAAGAAGAAGGAGAAUGUGAAAACAUCAAAGUCCUUGGUGAAGGAAGGCCUGGCUGCCAGAAAGACAGAGAGGAAGUUAAAGUCGUCUCUGACCACUGGUCCCUGGGAGGGUAUACUUUUUGGCAUUAUAGCCUUUUAUUGCUUUAUUUCUGUUCUUACUUAUGUUGUCCUUCCUUGUGUGGAAUAUGUGUCUGUAACAAUGUCAGGAAAUGCAGCCAAGGUGUUCGGAUCCCCUUUGAACAACUUUGUUGAAAUGAAUUAUCUUAUUGAGUUGACUUACAUCUGCAGGUUUAUGCCCAGUUUAUUGAUGCUAUGAUAAGUGCAGUAGAUUUUAGUUGUAAAAUGAAUGUUGUGAAUUAUGUUUUAAACUGCUAACUGAUUAUAUAUGGAAGAAAAGGAGUGUAUAUUGUUGUAAAACUUUUUUCUGUAAAUUUACCAACAUUAUACUGUAAUUUUGCUUUACAGCAGAGAUGCUGUAAUAUAUUUUACAGUACCUCUUUUCCAUACUAUAAAACACAUUACAGAAUACAGCAUCCCUGCUUUAAAUUUACAGCUGUAAGGUUUUUACAGUAGUAGUAGUAUUCAAUGUCGGGAUUCGUGUCUCCACAACUGCGUUGCCAACAAUAUUGUUUGAAAUGUUUUAUAUUAUUAUUUAGUGUUAUUAUUAUUUUAUUUAAACAAUAUAGAAACAUUUUUGAGAAAAAUGGGUUCCCUGCUGAAAAGGUUUAAAUACCACUGUUUUACAGUAAGGAAAAUACAAAAUAAAGCAAUUUAUUAAAAUAUUAAUAUAAAUUAAAUAUAAAUAUUAAAAAUUACAGUAUUUAAGCUGGCAACUCUGGUGCCAUUACAAUGCUGAAUAUUUACAGUGAAAUUCUACCUGAAAUCUAAAUACUAAGAAAUAUACACUGGGGCAAAAAAGUAUUUAGUCAGCCACCAAUUGUGCAAGUUCUCCCACGUAAAAAUAUGUGAGAGGCCUGUAAUUUUCAUCAUAGAUACACUUCAACUAUGACAGACAAAAUGAGAAAAAAUACCAGAAAAUCACAUUGUAGGAUUUUUAAUGAAUUUAUUUGCAAAUUAUGGUGGAAAAUAAGUAUUUGGUCAAUAACAAAAGUUUAUCUCAAUACUUUGUUAUAUACCCUUUGUUGGCAAUGACAGAGGUCAAACGUUUUCUGUAAGUCUUCACAAGGUUUUCACACUGUUGCUGGUAUUUUGGCCCAUUCCUCCAUGCAGAUCUCCUCUAGAGCAGUGAUGUUUUGGGGCUGUUGCUGGGCAACACGGACUUUCAACUCCCUCCAAAGAUUUUCUAUGGGGUUGAGAUUUGGAGACUGGCUAGGCCACUCCGGGACCUUGAAAUGCUUCUUACGAAGCCACUCCUUCGUUGCCCGGGCGGUGUGUUUGGGAUCAUUGUCAUGCUGAAAGACCCAGCCACGUUUCAUCUUCAAUGCCCUUGCUGAUGGAAGGAGGUUUUCUCUCAAAAUCUUACGAUACAUGGCCCCAUUCAUUCUUUCCUUUACACGGAUCAGUCACCCUGGUCACGUUGCAGAAAAACAGCCCCAAAGCAUGAUGUUUCCACCCCCAUGCUUCACAGUAGGUAUGGUGUUCUUUGGAUGCAAUUCAGCAUUCUUUGUCCUCCAAACACGACGAGUUGAGUCUUUACCAAAAAGUUAUAUUUUGGUUUCAUCUGACCAUAUGACAUUCUCCCAGUCUUCUUCUGGAUCAUCCAAAUGCUAUCUAGCAAACUUCAGACAGGUCUGGACAUGUACUGGCUUAAGCAGGGGGACACUGCAGGAUUUGAGUCCCUGGCGGCAUAGU
rnacentral:lncRNA from 13 species